rnacentral:lncRNA from 1 species
AAAUGAAUGGCUAUACAGUCCCAAUUUCAUUUAUUGCCACCUUCACUCUCUCUCUCUAGAAUUCUUAUGCCUAUGCGGAGAAAAAUCUUCAGCAGCCUCAUUUGGACCAAGGGAGAGAGGUUUCUCAAGUCAAAAGCUUCAUCAAUUUUUUGGCCUGGACAUUUUCCUUUUUCUGAAUAGGUGUACCCAGUAUUCUCACUAGUAUUUUUCUUCCAGUUCUUUUGUUGCACGCUCUUAAGCAAAAAUGGGAAAUAGAAAAUCUUGAUUUCAGGUGGUUUUUUGUGUUUUUCCUUUUUUUGUUUUUUCAAGAGAUGGGUAUGUUAAAGUUCUAUCUAAUCGUGAUCUUUGUUGGGUUUUCUGUGCAAGCUAUGGUUCUAAACUCGCAGAACUUGACUUGCAACCCGAAUGAUUUGAAAGCAUUGGGGGUUUUCGUCAGUAGGCUGGAAUUAGGUAUUGAAGGAUGGGACUUCAACUCAUCUUCAUCUAAUUGCUGUAAUUGGGUAGGAAUCUCUUGCAAUUCUUCUUCAUCUCGUGGUUUUAAUGAUUCCUUCAAUUCUGGUAGCGUUGUUAAAUUGGAGCUUGGGGAAAAAAAAGCUUCGUGGAAGCAUCCAUGAAUCUUUAGGCAAUUUGGAGCAACUGAAAACCCUUAAUCUCUCGCGCAAUUUCCUCAAAGGGUUUAUUCCUCUUUCACUGUUACAUUUGCCAAAGUUAGAAAUCUUGGACUUGGCCUACAAUGAAAUCGAUGGCUUGUUUCCAAAUAGCAUAAACCUUCAUUCAAUCAGAGUUCUAAACAUUUCUGAGAAUGCAAUUCAGGGUCCAAUUCCUGUGGGCAUCAGUAUCAACUCAACCCGAAUUUUGGUUUUGAAUUUGGGAUUCACUAACUUGAAUGGAAAUCUGCCUCCUGGACUAGGGAAUUGUACUUCAUUGGACGAUCUCUGCCUUAGUUCCAAUUUUCUCUCUGGUGUUUUACCUGAAAAUCUGUUUCGACUGCCAAAAUUAGCUUACUUGUCUCUUCAAGAGAAUCGAUUUUCUGGACAGCUUAGUGACCUUAUUGGUAGCCUCUCUAAUCUUGUUUGCGUGGAUAUAUCUUUAAAUGGGUUUUCAGGAAAUUUGCCAGAUAUUUUUCAUAGAUUUGGAAAGUUGAAUUAUUUUUCAGCUGAGUCCCAAUGGUUACGAAUGCAAGGUUCUUAAUGUCCCCAAUUACUUCUUUCAACUUUGUGAAGAAUCAAUACAUCGCUCGAUCAUUCUUUCCAUCCACUACGCCGA